UACGUAGGUGGCGAGCGUUGUCCGGAUUUACUGGGCGUAAAGAGCGCGCAGGCGGUCGUUCAAGUCGCGUGUGAAAGCCCCCGGCUCAACUGGGGAGGGUCACGCGAUACUGAUCGACUCGAAGGCAGGAGAGGGUAGUGGAAUUCCCGGUGUAGUGGUGAAAUGCGCAGAUAUCGGGAGGAACACCAGUAGCGAAGGCGGCACUCUGGGCCGGUACUGACGCUGAGGAGCGAAAGCGUGGGGAGCGAACAGG
rnacentral:rRNA from 1 species